rnacentral:tRNA from 1 species
GUUGGGGUGAUGAGGUAGUUUUUGACUGAUUUGCAAUUAGUUUAGAUGGUAUUACCAUACUAUUUA